rnacentral:lncRNA from 1 species
UUUUUCAUUUUCAAUACAGAUUAUUUCUCUCUCUAAAUGCUCUUUGGAAGCUUCUACCUAACCGACUCUCUCUCAUCUUGUUCUUCGAUUUCGUCUGGAUUUCUUGAUGUUUUCAUGGUAUCAUAGUCUAGACGAUGAUCCGACUAUACUUUCCUGCAUCUUGUUAUCUUGGUUGAAGUCUCGUUGGAAAUUUUUGGGGGUGUUUAUGACGUAUUUGGUCGAUGACGAUUCCGAUCUAAAUCGGAUGUUGAUCUGAGACUUUCAUCGUGAUAUCUGGGUAUAUCUUCUUCACUCGAACGUUUUUGGUGAUUUUCCGGUGACUUUUGGGUGAUUUUCCUGUGACUCUCCAGAUUCUAGGGUUUCUGGUGGUUGAACCUAGGGUUUUACUGCUAUCUGGUGGCUCGAUCCUCACUCAGUGGAUGUUUUGGGUGACUUUCCGACAUUCCUGACCCUAUUUCGGUAAGUUUCCAGUAAGGUUUCCGGCGGUUGGACCUAGGGUUUUGAACCUAGGGUUUUAUCUGGCGAUUGAAGGUCGUUCUUCUCCGGUCGCGAAGAAGAAGGGUAACUCUAUCCCUAUUCUAAGUGUUGUAUGUUUUGCAUGUG